rnacentral:tRNA from 1 species
GCGAAUAUUGUACAGUUGGUUAGUAUAUCUGCCUUCCAAGCAGAAGACGACAGUUCGAAUCUGUUUAUUCGCUCA